GACGAACGCUGGCGGCGUGCCUAAUACAUGCAAGUCGAGCGAACAGACGCGGAGCUUGCUCCUCUGACGUUAGCGGAGGACGGGUGAGUCACACGUGGAUAACCUACCUAUCAGACUGGGAUCACUACGGGAAACCGGAGCUAAUACCGGAUGAUAUAUUGCACCGCAUGGGGCAAUAGUGAGAGACGGUUUUGCUGUCACUUAUAGAUGGAUCCGCGCCGCAUUAGCUAGUUGGUAAGGUAAAGGGUUACCAAGGCUACGAUGCGUAUCCGACCUGAGGGGGGGGUCGGCGACACUGGAACUGAGACACGGACCAUACGCCUACGAGAGGCCGCAGUAUGGAAUCGUCAGCAAUGGGGGAGAGCCUGACAGAGCAACGGCGCGUGAGUGAUGAAGGUGUUCGGAUCGUAAAACUCUGUUAUUAGUUAAGAACAAAUGUGGAAGUAACCAUGCACGUCUUGACGGUACCGAGUCAGAAAGCCACGGCUAACUACGUG
rnacentral:rRNA from 1 species